rnacentral:rRNA from 1 species
UUCCGGUUGAUCCUGCCGGACCUGACUGCUAUCGGAUUGAUACUAAGCCAUGCGAGUCAUUGUAGCAAUACAAGGCAGACGGCUCAGUAACGCGUAGUCAACCUAACCUAUGGACGGGAAUAACCUCGGGAAACUGAGAAUAAUGCCCGAUAGAACACUAUACCUGGAAUGGUUUGUGUUCCAAAUGAUUUAUCGCCGUAGGAUGGGACUGCGGCCUAUCAGUUUGUUGGUGAGGUAAUGGCCCACCAAGACUAUUACAGGUACGGGCUCUGAGAGGAGUAGCCCGGAGAUGGGUACUGAGACACGGACCCAGGCCCUAUGGGGCGCAGCAGGCGAGAAAACUUUGCAAUGUGCGAAAGCACGACAAGGUUAAUCCGAGUGAUUUGUGCUAAACGAAUCUUUUGUUAGUCCUAGAACCACUAACGAAUAAGGGGUGGGCAAGUUCUGGUGUCAGCCGCCGCGGUAAAACCAGCACCUCAAGUGGUCAGGAUGAUUAUUGGGCCUAAAGCAUCCGUAGCCGGCUCUGUAAGUUUUCGGUUAAAUCUGUACGCUUAACGUACAGGCUGCCGGGAAUACUGCAGAGCUAGGGAGUGGGAGAGGUAGGCGGUACUCGGUAGGAAGGGGUAAAAUCCUUUGAUCUAUUGAUGACCACCUGUGGCGAAGGCGGUCUACCAGAACACGUCCGACGGUGAGGGAUGAAAGCUGGGGGAGCAAACCGGAUUAGAUACCCGGGUAGUCCCAGCUGUAAACUAUGCAAACUCAGUGAUGCAUUGACUUAUGGUCAAUGCAGUGCUGCAGGGAAGCCGUUAAGUUUGCCGCCUGGGAAGUACGUACGCAAGUAUGAAACUUAAAGGAAUUGGCGGGGGAGCACCACAAGGGGUGAAGCCUGCGGUUCAAUUGGAGUCAACGCCGGG